ACAGAAGAGGUGCGUUACCUAGGUAGCAAAAUUGAAGGGCCCAACCCUAAAUCAAUUUUGUGAGGGAGAGUAACGCCGAGAUAUCACCUGUUUGGGGCAGAUGAUAUCGGCUAUGAGAGUUGAAUCUCUCAGGCUGUCAUCUAAGUCAGGUUGACGAUGAUGGGGAGCUUCUGGG
rnacentral:ncRNA from 1 species